rnacentral:rRNA from 1 species
AUUGAACGCUGGCGGCAGGCUUAACACAUGCAAGUCGAGCGGAGAUGAGGUGCUUGCACCUUAUCUUAGCGGCGGACGGGUGAGUAACGCUUAGGAAUCUGCCUAUUAGUGGGGGACAACAUUCCGAAAGGAAUGCUAAUACCGCAUACGUCCUACGGGAGAAAGCAGGGGAUCUUCGGACCUUGCGCUAAUAGAUGAGCCUAAGUCGGAUUAGCUAGUUGGUGGGGUAAAGGCCUACCAAGGCGACGAUCUGUAGCGGGUCUGAGAGGAUGAUCCGCCACACUGGGACUGAGACACGGCCCAGACUCCUACGGGGGGCAGCAGUGGGGAAUAUUGGACAAUGGGGGGAACCCUGAUCCAGCCAUGCCGCGUGUGUGAAGAAGGCCUUAUGGUUGUAAAGCACUUUAAGCGAGGAGGAGGCUACUGAGACUAAUACUCUUGGAUAGUGGACGUUACUCGCAGAAUAAGCACCGGCUAACUCUGUGCCAGCCGCCGCCGUAAGAC